UAUGCACAGAUGACUAAGGCUGGCUUCUAGACUUCAAGAGAUGAUAAUAUAGUUGGCUUUGUCCGAGGACCAUUAGAAUUGCCCUGCCUUCUUUUUAGUCCAUCGUUAUAUGUACAGAUAAUUUAUCUGGCAAAUUAUAAGACACAGGAGCAGAUAUUUUCCAUUGAAUUUCCCUGAUGCUGAACAAUUUUAUCUGGGAAGAGAUGUGGCCAACUUUCUAGGGCUGACUUUGAUCCAGUAGAACAUGUCUUUUACAAGCAUUUACUUUACCAACUGGGAGCUCAGUACCCUCCACUAUGAAAAACACCCAGGCAAGUCCAAGGAGUAUGAGGUUAAACAAACAAGAGAAGAUGAAGGAGGAAAAGAAGAAGAUGGAGGAG
rnacentral:lncRNA from 1 species